AUCCAGCUGAUGAGUCCCAAAUAGGACGAAAUGCGAGUUUUGGAU
rnacentral:hammerhead_ribozyme from 1 species